CCCCCCCCCCCCCCCCCCCCCCGGGCCCGGGUCUGCGGCCGCCGCCGGCGCCCCGGCCCCCGGGACAGGGAUAGGGCGGGGGCCGGGCAGCUACAGCGCCGGCUCCGGCUUGGGACGCUUCGGGUGACACCCUCAGCCCGCGGUGUGACCGGGGAGCUCGCAGCGGGUCCCGGGACAGCCCCGCGGUGUGACCGGGGAGCCCGCAGCCGCUGCCCCCCCCCCCCCCCCCGCGGUGUGACCGGGGAGCCCGCAGCCGGUGCCGGGACAGCGGCGCUCGCCGAACAUGCCCCACGGGCGGCCCCUCAGGUAGCGGCGUUCGGAAAUCUUUUUUUCAGUUCCAUUCCCACGUGCAAGACAAGGUCCGGUUUUAUGCACUUAAAAGAAGCUUUAUUUUUUACUAUCGCCUAUACAGUUACAUCUCAGCCCUCAUUUGCACCAUCAGAGUUCAUACAGUACACCUUCAGUGCAAAGGUCAUGGUACAAAACUCAUGAAAAUGCAGAAAAUGUGCAAAGCAGGUCUGGCCCUUUUUAUCGUCUUUACUAAAAGACAAAGGCACACGCUUCAACAUUCACGGUAAGAAAACAUGCACAGCAAACGCCCCGAUGUAGUCACAGAACACAGUAAACAAAGCUCAGAAGGACCAUAUGCCACAUCUGCCACAGCCGUGUGGGAGAAGCCAAGGAAGCAGGUACAGCAGCCUGUUCAGCAGCGCAGCAGCCACACACUGAGCGCCUCUGACCCCACAGCGCGGGAAAUGGAUGAGAGCAGCAUUCCUGCAGCACUUGUAUCCAAAUCCUCAGGCGUUCUCAUGCUGCUGCUCCGGGGAUGCCCCGUCCUUCCCAGGGCACUGCCCAUGCCCCGUGCGCAGCCCGGCACCGCCCGGGGUCCCGUGUGCAGAGACAGCCCUGGCACUGGAGCUUCUGUGCUGCGGGGGCAGCGAGGACAGCGCUCAAACAGCCCGCGGCUCCUUCUCUGCAGCCGCCGUGCUUCACCAUCUCUUCACCCGCCGUGCCCCUCCACAGCCCGAAAGGGUCCCGCUGUGCUCAGGAAGGCUCCCUGUGAGCAGCGCUGCGGUGUCACUGCCGGGCUCGCUCAGUGGCAGGAGUUGCUCCGCGCUCCCCCCCGCAGGAGCUCGGCUGCUGCAGCCGCGCCGGGCCAUGAAGCCGCCAGCCUGCAGGGAGCUCGCUCAGCACCCCCGUGA
rnacentral:lncRNA from 1 species